GACGAACGCUGGCGGCGUGCCUAAUACAUGCAAGUCGAACGCUGAAGAGAGGAGCUUGCUCUUCUUUGAUGAGUUGCGAACGGGUGAGUAACGCGUAGGUCACCUGCCUUGUAGCGGGGGAUAACUAUUGGAAACGAUAGCUAAUACCGCAUAACCAUGGAUGACACAUGUCAUUUAUUUGAAAGUGGCCAUUGCUCCACUACAAGAUGGACCUGCGUUGUAUUAGCUAGUAGGUGAGGUAAUGGCUCACCUAGGCGACGCUACAGAGCCGACCUGAGAGGGUGAGCGGCCACACUGGGACGGAGACACGGCCCAGAGUGCUACGGGAGGGAGCAGGAGGGAAUCGUCGGCAAUGGGGGCAACACAGACCGAGCAACGCCGCGUGAGGGAAGAAGGUUUUCGGAUCGUAAAGCUCUGUUGUAAGUCAAGAAAGGGUGUGAGAGUGGAAAGUUCACACUGUGACGGUAGCUUAUCAGAAAGGGACGGCUAACUACGUG
rnacentral:rRNA from 1 species